rnacentral:lncRNA from 1 species
UCCUCCCCACAGUUACCUGGCAACAGCCAGGUAGGCCUGACCCACUAUGAAAGGGGCAACAGAUCUCUUGUGACAGAGUCAUAGAUGGCUGUGAGCCACCAUGUGGAAGCUGGACAUUGAAGCUGGGUUCUCUCUAAGAGCAACAAGUGUUCGGAAGAGCUGAGCCACCUCUCUAGCCUCCUGGGUGGUUUUUAUGGCGUAAAGGGAACCCUAAGGGAAGAUAUUAAGGGGAGCUUUGUGUGUAACACUAAGCCUUUGCCUGUGAGCUCGGCAUGUGACCGCUGCCCCCAAUUUACUGUUCAUCUUUUAUCUUCUCAUGCCCAACUACAAUGUGGUUUAUUACACAGAUUCUCAUUGAAUAAGCAAACUCCCGAAGAUACAACAUGUUUAUUGUACAAACUCUCAGAAGCAGAGUGAACUCUGUGUGUUCCAAGGUUGACUUAAACCACUGAACUAACAGAGGGCCAAUCACAGGGUACUGUUGUGAACAUCGUACACAAAGGCAUUGUUCUUCUCUUCGAUAGUUCCCAAACCACACAGGAGAAGAAAACAGUGUAAAACCCAGCUUAAAAAAGACAAUCAAGGUUCUCCUGUGGAGAAGGGCAGGGAACAAGAGCCUAUAAAUUAAGUAUGUGGAUUUAAAAAAGGAAUCAGUCUGCAUUUUAAGGGACUUUAUUACAUCGAGAAUAUUCUAAGGCCUGGGCAUAGACCGACAGGGAGAUGAAGCAGUCAAGGUAAGUCUCUCCCCAUGUGGCCAAUCCUUCACAACUUCACAAAAUAUCCUGUGGCAGAACAAAUCUAAUUUGUUUUUGGCAUCAGGCUGCAUUUCCAUAAACUCCUCCUUGGCAUUGGCUCUGGUGUCCCAGGAAAUUAAAAUUUAGAGCCAAACUCCCCUUACACAUAAUAAUAACCUCGUUAUGGAGGUGCUCGCAAACGGAUCACGAGCGGGAAGCAGCUCUCUCCCGUGAUUAGUUUAAUUAGCGCCUUCCUCGGUCUCAUCAGGAAUGUUGAGGUUCAGCUGGGCAGGGAGUCCGGCAAAGUGGCUGAGCUGC